GAUGAACGCUGGCGGCGUGCCUAAUACAUGCAAGUCGAGCGAACAGACGAGGAGCUUGCUCCUCUGACGUUAGCGGCGGACGGGUGAGUAACACGUGGAUAACCUACCUAUAAGACUGGGAUAACUUCGGGAAACCGGAGCUAAUACCGGAUAACAUGUUGAACCGCAUGGUUCAACAGUGAAAGACGGUUUUGCUGUCACUUAUAGAUGGAUCCGCGCCGCAUUAGCUAGUUGGUAAGGUAACGGCUUACCAAGGCAACGAUGCGUAGCCGACCUGAGAGGGUGAUCGGCCACACUGGAACUGAGACACGGUCCAGACUCCGACGGGAGGCAGCAGUAGGGAAUCUUCCGCAAUGGGCGAAAGCCUGACGGAGCAACGCCGCGUGAGUGAAGAAGGUCUUCGGAUCGUAAAACUCUGUUAUUAGGGAAGAACAAAUGUGUAAGUAACUAUGCACGUCUUGACGGUACCUAAUCAGAAAGCCACGGCUAACUACGUG
rnacentral:rRNA from 1 species